AUGGGGCUGAUACAGACCUCAAAAGUACCCAUAAGGCUGGAACUGGGCCCAUUAAAAUGCUCACAAUACUCAGGACAUAUUUUUUAGAAGAUAAUUACUAACAAUCUCAGAAGCUUCAGGUCCUCUUAUAUGCUACAAGAAAAGCCUUCGCGGGAACAGAUCUGUUGCCAUGACAACAAUCACUUGGCUGCGCAUAAAGAAGGGCGGGGAACCUACCAAAUGGUAUUCUCAACAGUCAGCCCUGGGAUUUCUUAAAGCCACUUUCUAAAGAACCGUCAGCAUCUAGGAGACUCUAAAAGCUGCAUGAGGCCUUAGGGGUAACCUAGUUUCACAUGACACCAGAAUUUCUUCCUUAUCGUCCUUGCCAAAUAGUCAUCUGGACUCGGUUGAAACAUCUCCGGGGCCAGAGAACUUGCUCCCCUUCAUGCCAGGGGGAAGAAGGAGCUGUUCCACAGUGCUAUCAAGGAUUGAAUGGGAUAAUCCAAGUAGGAUGCUGAGCACCAGGCCCUGUGCACACAGAGUCAGAUCAUCAUGCAAUUAACACGCAAACCUACAGCUGUCUGAUUCUAGACCUCUUCACUGCCUCUGUGUGCACAGCUUCAUGCAACAAAAGACUCUCAGCUAAAUUUGGUUUUGGAUUUACUUCUCUACUCAUUGCAAAAUGUAUUUGA